UACCAGCACCCCGAGUGGUCGGGACGUUUAUUGGGCCUAAAGCAUCCGUAGCCGGUUCUACAAGUCUUCCGUUAAAUCCACCUGCUUAACAGAUGGGCUGCGGAAGAUACUAUGGAGCUAGGAGGCGGGAGAGGCAAGCGGUACUCGAUGGGUAGGGGUAAAAUCCGUUGAUCCAUUGAAGACCACCAGUGGCGAAGGCGGCGACCUGGGCCAAUAUUGACGCUGAGGUGCGAAAGCGUGGGGAGCAAACAGG
rnacentral:rRNA from 1 species